rnacentral:tRNA from 1 species
GCCUGGGUGGCUCAGUCGGUUGAGCGUCUGACUUUGGCUCAGGUCAUGAUCUCACAGUUUGUGGGUUUGAGCCCUGCAUUGGGCU